CGAACGUCCCGCGGGAGCCGGGUGGACCCGGCUGAGAGGGAGGCUGAUCCGGCCUCCGACCGCACGAACCUGAUCCGGGUCAUACCGGCGAAGGGAGUGGAACCCAGCGCCAUGC
rfam:Nocardiopsis sp. CNR-923 NODE_12_length_126550_cov_144.096_ID_15, whole genome shotgun sequence.